rnacentral:rRNA from 1 species
GGAUCAGCCCACGGCCUAUCAGCUUGUUGGGGGGGUGAUGGCCUACCAAGGCGACGACGGGUAGCCGGCCUGAGAGGGCGACCGACCACACUGGGACUGAGACACGGCCCAGACUCCUACGGGAGGCAGCAGUGGGGAAUAUUGCACAAUGGGCGAAAGCCUGAUGCAGCGACGCCGCGUGAGGGAUGACGGCCUUCGGGUUGUAAACCUCUUUCAGCAGGGAAGAAGCGAGAGUGACGGUACCUGCAGAAGAAGCGCCGGCUAACUACGUGCCAGCAGCCGCGGUAAUACGUAGGGCGCAAGCGUUGUCCGGAAUUAUUGGGCGUAAAGAGCUCGUAGGCGGCUUGUCGCGUCGGAUGUGAAAGCCCGGGGCUUAACCCCGGGUCUGCAUUCGAUACGGGCAGGCUAGAGUUCGGUAGGGGAGAUCGGAACUCCUGGUGUAGCGGUGAAAUGCGCAGAUAUCAGGAGGAACACCGGUGGCGAAGGCGGAUCUCUGGGCCGAUACCGACGCUGAGGAGCGAAAGCGUGGGGAGCGAACAGGAUUAGAUACCCUGGUAGUCCACGCCGUAAACGUUGGGAACUAGGUGUGGGCGACAUUCCACGUCGUCCGCGCCG